rnacentral:lncRNA from 1 species
CCUUUAAAUCGCUGAGCGCCCCGUUCCGCCCCGCCACGCCGUCUCCCUAGCGAUUAGAACGCACAACAGUUGGCGUCACAAGGACCCGGGAAGGGGCUCCCCGCGUGUUAAAGGGGCCGCAGGCAGCAGCGCACCAUGGAGGGAGCCGGCAGUGCGGGGCGGGAGCGCGGUGGGUCCGCCGAGCCGGAGCCCGGCGAGCAGCCAGCCUCGCGGGGAGCAGGGAAGGAUGCCAAGGAAAAUAGAAAAGAAACUUCAUCUUCAUCCUAUGAGGGGCGAAGCAGCUCAUCUGAAGACAGGAGCUCCACAGAGGUGGAAUCAGAGAGCAGCCCCCAGGAUGGGGCCACAGAAAAGCCAGCUCCAUGCCCAGGUUCCAAAGUACUAGGAGGAAUUAGAAGAGAAAUUUCCACAUCAUUAGAUACAUUAAGCAGAUCGCCUCAAGACAAGAGUUCAGCAGGAAAAUCUGAUGGGACCACAGAACCCAGAUCCAAGACCAGCACCCAGAAGAGCACCACGAAGCAACCAGCUCCCAACACAGGUACAAACGGCCUUCCUACAAUAUUAGGUGGCAUUAGAAGAGAAACUUGCUCUCCCUCAUUACACAAGUUAAGCAGGGAAAGAAAAACAUCUGAUAAUGUUGAUCACUCAACUCAUGAGAAAUCUUUAGGAAUUUCAGUGUCAAUGCAGACGGAAACAAGCUGGAUUUAUGAACAUAUGUACAGAAAAACUAUUCAGAGAAAGACUGAAGAGCUCAAGACAGACAGCAUUCACAUUGCUACUGCUGCUGGAAAUGGUAAACUGAUACCCAGAGAAGCUGCUUCUGCUUUCCCUCUUGGAGGGCUGCAUUCAAUUCUGGACACACUAAUACCUAUUAGAUAGUGACAAAGGCCAGGGAACUCAGAAAAGAGCAACAAAAAUGGUUUGGGAUUAGACGGAUUGACCAGAUUAAAAGAACUAGAAGUAUGGCUUCUCUGAGCCAUAACUGGGGGAUAUGACUUGUUGCAAGAUGGUGAAGAUGUAAAUAGUGAGGUGGAAGGUGAAUUAUAAGGGGUGGCACAAGGAAAUAUAACUGACUAAUGGGAUUAGUUGUGACUGCAUGUCAGGAAAAGCUUCCUCCCAACCAUUUCUACCACUUAUUCCGGAUAUUUAUGUGUAGACUAAAGGCUUGUCUACACAGGCAACCUUAAAGCGCUGCCGUGGCACAGCACUGGGAAAGCUCUCCCACUGCUCUUAAAAAACAAAACAAAACAAACAAACAAACAAAAAACCACACACACCUCUACAAGGGGAGUAGCUACCAGCGCUGGGUGCCAGGGCCAGCUUUAGGCCGAUUCCCUGGAAUCAGGCCCUGUGCGGAAGAGGGCCCUGCACCCGCACCUAAGAAGGCCGCGCUCCGGGGGUCUUCGGCAGCGUUUCGGUGGCGGGAGGUCCUUCGGUGCCGCAGAAGAUCCAGAGCAGAACCCUGCCACUGAAAUUCCGCCAAAGCUCUGGACUGCCACUGAGUAUUCAAAUCGGGCCCCGCAGGUCAUAAAGCCAGCCAUACUGACACAUUACAGUGCUAAAACUUGCUGCACUCAGAGGGGUGUUUUUUCACACCCCUGAGCGAGAAAGUUGCAGCGCUGUAAAGUACCAGUGUAGACAAGCCCGAAAUAUAGGAAACAGUCUUGCACUGGCAGGGGAUGGAUUAAUAGGAGUUUCCCCAUCUCUAGCUUCCAGUCUCUUGCUUCUCAAGACAGCAGAGGUGGGAACUGCUUUAGACACUAUAGCUCUGAUCCAACACUUCACUUAAGUGUUUAGAUUUAAGCAGUGAGCAGUCCUGUUGACUUCAAUGGGACUAUUCCUUGUUUAAAAUUAAGCCCAUGCUUUACUGCACGUGCUU